rnacentral:lncRNA from 1 species
UCAGAGUAUGGAGGCUUUUAAAAAAGUGAUCUGUGAAACCUUAUUGACAAAAUUACAUCAAGUCUGUUCCACUGCUCCUCAGCCAACAUACUCCUCCCUCCCCUUCUUUCCCUUUAGAGUCCCCCAGAACAGAAGCGGAAGGAAGGGAAGAGGGGAUGGUAAGAAGGGCAGCCACUUGAAAGACAGAGGUAUUCUAGCAGCAUUUAUCUUUUUAGUCAGGAUCCAGAGAUAACCUUCACUCACUUUAAAUUCAGUCACUCCUUUAAGCGGCUAUGGGGGAAGUCUGCACCUUUAUUUCCCAUACCCAGUUGUAAUUUUGAGAAAGUAUGAGAACAUGGCUAGUAUAUUCUUUCUUUAGCAUUUGCAUAUUGACUCAAAGAUUUGGUUACUCCAUCUGUCACAGCCCAUUGACAGUAGCUAGAAAUAUAAGCUUUGCCAAUAGCAGAGACAUUGCAACAAACACAACCAGAGUUCCCACUGUGGCUCAGCUGGUUAAGAACCCGACAUAGUGUCGGUGAGGAUGCGGGUUCGAUCCCUGGCCUUGCUCAAUGGGUUAAAAUCUAGCAUUGCCAGAGGCUGCAGAGUAGGUCACAGAUGCAGCUUGGAUCUGGUGCUGCUGUGGCUGUGGCAUAGGCUGGCACCUGCAGAUCUGAUUCAACCCCUAGCCCAGAAACUUCCACAUACCACAGGUGCAGCUGUAAAAAGAAAGAAAAGAAAAAAACCUAACACAACCUGAUAUUUCAGACAUAUCUAAUUCACUACAAGCAAACAGUAAGGUGCCAAGUAUACACCUAACAUCAAAGCUUAGUCUAAAAAUAUCUACCAACAGACACAGCUUGGUUCCUAACCAAUCAGAAAAGAUUCUGGCCUUGAACAGUUGUGUGGCCAUGACAGUGUAUGUCAAUCAUUUGCAUACUUAUCUAGAUCACCCUUUCUCUUCUCUACUUAGAUCAUCUUCUGUGAAUUAAAGAGGCAGGAGUAUAUUGGGAAGAACUAGAGCCAGACAGACUUGGUUUUGGUUCUUACUUGUGACAUCAAGCAGUCUGGCCUUGGGCAAGGCCAUUUCUUUACUGUAAAAUGGAUAUAAUAACUAUUUUGUAAGAUUUGUUGUAAAAAAUACAUACUAGAUAAAAAGGAUCCAAGAAAACAUCUGAAACAGAGUAGGCACUCAGUACAUUACAGCAGUAGUAAUUGUUGUCCUCGUGGUCACUGUAAUUGAUAGCAUCUGGCCAAAAUCACCUUGACUUCAGGUGGGCAUUAAAAGAGCUUCAGAAAGACUCCAAAACCCAGCCUCAAACAAUGCAAAGGCUGAAUGACCAAAGAACUUGAUACUCAGCAGUUGGAAAGGAAAUCUAUCUCCUCUAAAUUACAUGAAGCCACAGUGAGGAGAAAACAGCCAAGGAGCUGGCUGGUGGUGGAAUUGGAGCUGAGCAUUAAACUUAAAUCAGAGAAUCUCUGUUAAAGCAUCCUCUCUCCAUUCACUAGGUCUCUGACCUUGGGCAACUCGCUUAAUCACUUAACACAACAGGAGCCUAUUAUCUCAUUUAUAAAAUGGAGCCAUUAUAAUAUUUAUGAAAGUUCAUUGUAAACUACAAAGUACUAUACAAAAACAUUAUUAUUAAAUAUAUGAAUAUCUACAUUUCUGUGUUGAACAAGUGCAGUAUCAAAAGUAUACAGAGAUUCCUCAAAAAAUUAACAAUAGAACUGAAACUACACUCCUCCUUGGAUGGGACUUGAACCCAGCGAAAACUCACACUGGGACUCAAACCCACAGGCUGGGACUUGAACCCACCUGCACCUCAAAUAGGACUUGAACCCACAAUCCCUGACUGAGGAGGAGACUCAAACCCACUGUCUUUUUCUUUAAUUUUAUUGGAGUAUAGUGGAUUUACAAUGUUGUAUUCAUUUCAGGUAUGCAGCAAAGUGAGUCAGUUGUAUGUAUAAAUAUAUCCAUUCUUUUUUCCCCAUCUAAGUUAUUACAAACUAUUGAGUCGAUUUUCCUAUGCUAUACAGUAGAUUCUCGUUAAUCAUUUGUUUUAUACAGUCUUUUCAUUAAAACUGCUCAUCUGGUAUCAGGACUUACUGAAGCUCGGGUUCUUUUGUCUCAGUGAGGAAAGAAUUCAGCAAGAGGAAGGCAAAGAGUUCAUUAGCAUAGGACGCUUGUGAGAGAUAAAACAAGCAGGCAGGUGAGAAGGCUCUGCCCUGAGAUAGAGAGAAUUUAUUUAUAAUAAAAAAAAAAGUGGGGGUGGGUGAAGACCACCUUCUUCCUCAUUCUUGAGCAGAAGUCAGGGCUUACAUCACUAGUUCCUCCUUUAACUCUAUAUGGUUUAACUGGGACUGUCAUGGCGCUACUUAAAUCAUAUGUAAUAUUAGCAGAAGGAUAGCAACAUAUACUAAAAUGUGGUAAUUCAUCUCAGGUUGUGGUAUAAUGUCCCCUUUCACCUAGUUUUUUUCCCUCUUUCACCUUUAGUCCUGUCUUGGCUACAUCCAGAAAGCUACUCUUCAAGAACAGUUAACUCCCUGACUUCAUAACAAGAUUCAGACUCCAUGUCUAUUGUCCUGUGUUUUCACUAUCAGAGUUUGUGGUUUGAGUGUGUCUGGUGCUUGAAUGUACCUGGUCUUCCUUCAAGGUGGUGUAGAUUGUUGUUGUAUUACUGGAUUUUUUUCUUGAGUCGUCAUUACUUGUAACAGUUUCCCAAACUCCCUUAAAAUUCCCUUUCUGUCUUUAAUCCUCUAGCAGGAUUUCUAAACUGACUAUUUAAUCACCCUACUCUAUCCUGAUCAGAACUACCAUACAAUCCAGCAAUUCCAUUCUGUGUAGUUAUCCAAAGACAAUGAAAACACUAAUUUGAAAAGAUACGUGCACUCCUAUAUUCAUAACAUCAUUAUGUAUAAUAGCCAAGACAUGGAGGCAAUCUAAGUGCCUAUCAAGAGGUACAAAUUUCCAGUUGCAAAAUAAAUGACAUGAUAUGAAAUGUACAGUGUGAGGAGUAUAAUCAAUAACUGUGUAUUGUCUUCAUAUUGUGAUAUAUUUAAUUAGACUUCACUUGGUGGUCAUUUUGAAAUAUACAGAAAUAUCAAAUCACCAUCUUGCAUAAUAGGAACAUAGUGUUAUAGGCCAGUUAUGCCUCAAAAACAAAGAAACUUAUAGAAAGAGAGAUCAGAUUUUGUGAUUACCAGAGGCUGAGAAUUAGGGAAAGGGGGAACUGAAUGAAGGCAGUCAAAGGUACAAACUUCCAGUAAUAAGAUAAAAAAGUACUGGAGCUCCCGUUGUAGCUAGUGCAUACUAGUCAUAAUGUAUCCGACUAGUAUCCAUGAGGAUGUGGGUUCAAUCCCUGGCCUCACAAAGUGGGUUAAGGAUCCGGCAUUGCUGUGAGCUGUGGUAUAGGUCACAGACGAGGCUUGGAUCCCACAAUACUGUGACUGUGAUGUAGACCUGAAGCUGCAACUCUGAUUCAGAGUUCCCGGACCCCUAGCCUGAGAAUUUCCAUGUACCACGGGUUCAGCCCUAAAAAUUUUUUU